rnacentral:rRNA from 1 species
AAGAACACUGGCGGCGUGCUUACACAUGCAGUCGAACGAGGUGAUUGAAAGCUUGCUUUUGAGAACCGAGUGGCAAACGGGUGAGUAACGCGUAGACAACCUGCCGCAAAGAUGGGGACAACAGUCCGAAAGGACUGCUAAUACCGAAUGUUGUCAAGUUUCCGCAUGGGAGCUUGAUUAAAGAUGGCCUCUACUUGUAAGCUAUCGCUUUGCGAUGGGUCUGCGUCUGAUUAGCUAGUUGGUGGGGUAACGGCCUACCAAGGCGACGAUCAGUAGCCGGUCUGAGAGGAUGAACGGCCACAUUGGAACUGAGACACGGUCCAGACUCCUACGGGAGGCAGCAGUGGGGAAUCUUCCGCAAUGGGCGAAAGCCUGACGGAGCAACGCCGCGUGAGUGAAGAAGGGUUUCGGCUCGUAAAGCUCAGUUGAUGGGGACGAAUGUGCGAAAUGCGAAUAGUUUUUCGCAAUGACGGUACCCGUCGAGGAAGCCACGGCUAACUACGUGCCAGCAGCCGCGGUAAU